rnacentral:rRNA from 1 species
UACGUAGGGGGCGAGCGUUGUCCGGAUUUAUUGGGCGUAAAGAGCGUGUAGGCGGCCAGGUAGGUCUGCUGUGAAAUCUCGAGGCUCAACUUCGAGCUGUCGGUGGAAACUGUCUGGCUAGAGUCCGGAAGAGGAGAAUGGAAUUCCUGGUGUAGCGGUGAAAUGCGCAGAUAUCAGGAAGAACACCCGUGGCGAAGGCGGUUCUCUGGGACGGUACUGACGCUGAGACGCGAAAGCGUGGGGAGCGAACAGG